rnacentral:rRNA from 1 species
GGAUUGGCAGUGGUCGGCGAGUUGACAUCUUCGUUAACUUCAAUGUAUUAGGGCAACCAUUCAUUGAGGGAAGACUAGACAGACCGGUCUUGCGGCUUGACAACCUCUCAUGUUUGACCUCAAAUCAGGUAGGACUACCCGCUGAACUUAAGCAUAUCAAUAAGCGGAGGAAAAGAAACCAACAGGGAUUGCCUUAGUAACGGCGAGUGAAGCGGCAAGAGCUCAAAUUUGAAAUCUGGCACUUUCAGUGUCCGAGUUGUAAUUUGAAGAAGGCAGUCUUGGUGGCCAACCUUGUCUAUGUUCCUUGGAACAGGACGUCACAGAGGGUGAGAAUCCCGUGCGAUGAGGUUUGUCUGCUUUGUAAGGCGCUUUCGAAGAGUCGAGUUGUUUGGGAAUGCAGCUCUAAGUGGGUGGUAAAUUCCAUCUAAAGCUAAAUAUUGGCGAGAGACCGAUAGCGAACAAGUACAGUGAUGGAAAGAUGAAAAGAACUUUGAAAAGAGAGUGAAACAGUACGUGAAAUUGUUGAAAGGGAAGGGCUUGAGAUUAGACUUGGCUUUGCUCAAUCAUUUCUCCUUGUGGGAGGUGCUCUUGGCUUUGCCGGGCCAGCAUCGGUUUUGGUGGUGGGAUAAUAGCGAUUGAACGUGGCCCCUCGGGGUGUUAUAGCUUUCGUUGAUACCGCCUACUGGGACCGAGGAC